GAAUUUUAUAAAAUUAUUUUAAAAAUUUAUAAUAAUUUUAUUUAAUUGGGAGGAUUUUUAAAUUUAAAUAACUUUAAAUAUUUACUGAUAACAUUAAUUUAUGAUAUUUAAAAUUAAUAAAUAUUAUUUAAAUAAAAAUUAAUUACCUUAGGGAUAACAGCAUAAAAUUUUUUUGUAGAUCAUAUAUAUUAAAAUAUUUGU
rnacentral:rRNA from 1 species